AAGGUCCUACGGGACGCAGCAGUGAGGAAUAUUGGUCAAUGGGCGCGAGCCUGAACCAGCCAAGUAGCGUGAGGGAUGACUGCCCUACGGGUUGUAAACUUCUUUUAUAAAGGAAUAAAGUGAGGCACGUGUGCCUUUUUGUAUGUAUUUUAUGAAUAAGAAUCGGCUAACUCCGUGCCAGCGGCCGCGGUAAUACGGAGGAUCCGAGCGUUAUCCGGAUUUAUUGGGUUUAAAGGGAGCGUAGAUGGGUUGUUAAGUCAGUUGUGAAAGUUUGCGGCUCAACCGUAAAAUUGCAAUUGAUACUG
rnacentral:rRNA from 1 species